UUUGAAGAGAAUAGGGGUCGGAAGGUAGAGGAAUUUGGAAGGGAGAGGCUCUCGGUGCUUUCCUCUUUGAGGAGAUGCCGAGCUAAGAACAGAGAGUUUCAGGAGUGAGGGAGACUGAAGGAGAAAGAAAGGAGAAAGGGAGAAGCUCUUCCGAGAGCUAAGAGCGCUAAAGAGAAAAAAACGAUAGAGAGAGAGAGAGAGAGCUGAGAGAAAUAGAGAAAUGAAUGAGAGAGAUUAGAGAGACAAAGGGGGGAGACGCAAAUGAAUACAUCAGCCAUUCCUACCAUCGUUGUCGGAUUUUAGUGUCACCGCAAGUGCCCACGAUCUGCUUCCUUUGUCACAUCCGAGCUAGAGUUUCCCCAACUUCAUCAAAUUAUUCUAAACCUGUGCAUUCAAAUUUAGUAGCUUCGAUUUCUUCCUUGGAAGGUUACAAGAGAUGUCAGCCCUUACACCUACCAGCUGAAUAUCUCCUCAUCUGAUGAACCCUACUUCUCCACCUUCAGCAAGACCGUCCAACAGAAGUACCCAUCCAUCAAAACCCUUCUAUCCAUUGGUGGCAGCGACGCGGAUUCGUUAACCUUCUCUGCCAUGGUUAACCAAUCCUCUUCUCGAAAGGCCUUCAUCGAUUCCUCAAUGAAAAUUGCCAGGUUAUACGGCUUCCAUAGUAUAGACCUCUGUUGGGUGUCUCCGGGCACAGAGUCCGACAUGAUUAACAUGGGCAAACUCUUUGAUGAGUGGAGAACCGCGGUGAACUCCAGUGAGCCAAAGCUGAUCUUGACUGCAACAGUUCAUUACUCACCCAGACUUGGCUGAUCUUGACUGCAAUAGGGAGGAAUUUGGAUUGGGUACAUGUGUUGGCAUAUGACUAUUAUAUGCCGUCUCGAGUGAAUUUUACAGGUGCACAUGCUGCUUUAUAUGAUCCAUCAAGCAAGGUGAGUACUGAUUUCGGAAUUGGGUCAUGGUCCGGAUGAUUCCCUAAAUCUUCUAGGCUAUGCAUGGGAGUUGUGGAAUGAAGGAAGAAGCCUGAAGUUCGUGGAUCCAGUAUUAGAUGAUGCAUAUUCCUUUGGCAAACUAAUGAGAUGCUUUCUAGUGGGGCUACUGUGCGUUCAAGAAAGAACAUUGGACAGACCCACCAUGUCUGAUGUUGUUUCCAUGCUUAACAAUGAAGCUAUAGCUUUACCAGCUCCCAGAAAGCCUGCUUUUUCAACCACAGGAACUGGUACUGGGGAUGAUGCGUCUGUAGAUCAAUUAAGAGUUUGCUCAGUAAAUGAUGUAACAGUUUCUCUAGUAGCACGAUAAGGCCAUGCACAGGUCUUUCACCUAUCGCGCAUUUGCUCCAUAUUCACCAUUAGAACACUUUUCUUAGAAUAUAUAUUGUAGAAAGAGAGACUGUUGUGACUGGUUUUCUUUAUCAAUCGUCCUAUAUAUCCUAUGGUGUA